GUUCCUUGCAAAGUGGCGAGCAAAGGAUCGCUGAGCUCUGGGCGUCUGAGCUGGGGAGAAGAGGGGCUGAGCAGGACAGAGUCGGGCAGGAGAAGGGGGACAGCAGGAAGGAGAGGGGAACAUUCUUCUCAGGGAUUUGAGCUGGGGUCUGCAUCCUGGCCGUUGCAGUCUGUUUAGCAUCCUCGCCGCGCGCGAGCGCGCUCGAGGAGCACAGGCUGCACCCUCCCAGGGCCGGUGCUGCGUCCUACUCCGCUGUUCUGGGACGUCGGGGGCAAAAGUGGAGGAGACGGGAGAGCCCGGGCAGAAAAAGCAGGACGCGCGUCCCAGGGUCUCCAAGAGACAAUCCCUUCCCCUGCCUGCUCUGAGAGGACCCUUCAAGGAAGGGGGACCAGAAAGCAGAGGCCACCAUCCUAUCAAUGAGUACCAGGAAGACAGGCGCCCCAGAAGGGCCAUCUAUCCGGGGAAAUGUCCUCUUCCUUCUGCUGCUAGCCAGAGACCGCCGAGAGUGAGACCGGAGGGAAGAUGCCUCCUUCAAUGCUGGGAAGAAAGCAAAGGGAAAGAUGCAGCGAUGAAAGCAAGGCACAAAGUCCUUCCGCCCGCGCGGCCCUCUACGAAGGCGUCGACUGACAGCCUGGAGUCGUGGGCGGGGGUGAGGCCAAGGCGCUGCUGGCAGGAGACGGAUAGGAGUAGGUAGCGGCCCGGAGCCCUGAAAAAGCGAGGACCUGAGCCAGUCGCAGCUCCGCAGGGGCCCCUGAGCGGCACUCAGACUCCCGCGGGGUGGCGGAGCAAUGCGGCCCGGCACCCCCUCGCACAAAACGCUGCCGGUGCCGCUCUAAGACCUCUACCCCGUUGCCCUCCAGGAACGCGUUGGAGCUGCAGGCCAAGGUUGACCGGAAAUCCGUCCGUCCUCCCUUCUUUCUUUCAGCCAUCUCUGGCAAGCCGCAGAGGGAAGGGAGCAUUUUCCUGACCCAGAUCCGUGUUUUCGACCCUCAGAGCUAUAGAGAAGACCCGGUUUGAUCUCCCCAUCCGAGGGACACUUCCAGUCCCUGGCAUCGCGCUUCUCCCCCAUAGUACAGACAGUGAAACUGAGGCCUAAGGAAGGGCAAAGACACCCAUAGAAAGCUAGGAGGUACAGAUCAGGCAAACACUGGGGGUUCUCUGUCCGGGGCUUGGAAGCUUUAAUCUGCCUAGGACGAGGGCUUGGGGCACAGGGUUUGAGCAAACCUUUCCCGGAUCGAUCGAGCCUGCCGACUCUGUCGGGUUUCCCCCUGGGCGGUCCCCAGAUAAUAAUAGAUCUCAUUUGUUGAAGGCUUUACAGGCAUAAACUCAUUGAAUUCCCACAACAGACCAAAAAGGCACGUAAGAUCACCCCCCAUUUUACAGGUGAGGAAACGGACGCCUUGAUUGAAAUGAAUCAACCUGUCCACGUCCACGCUGCUAAUGAAGUAGCUGAACCGUAAUUACUUCAGAGCCUAUGCCCUUAUCCUUGUAUCCAAACCUCUCAUCAAGUGGCGACGCGUGUCUCCCGCAUUCGCCUGGCGCUUGCCCCUCCAACAGUCACAGAUCCUCUCAGCUCUCAAGCCCCUAGGUAUCCUGGAUGACAGAGGAGCUUGGGUGCAAGUUGCCUCCUGAGGGCAGGCAGCAGACGGGAGAGAGAAGGGGAAAGGGCUCUGAAAAGUCCUAAUGCUCUCACUGGAUGCGUAUUCCCGCGGUCAGAUACAGACGCGCGUCCCCCUGGGCCGCCCGAGAGAGAGCACUCCAGGGUCCGGCCCAGCUCCAGCCCUGAUUCUGCCAUAUUUGCUAUGUGAACUCCGGUCAGCCGCUUCUCCCAAUCCUAGCUGAGGUCUCAGAGCUCCAGGCGCACGCAACGUUGCCUAAUUGAGAUACACUAAACACAAGGCUUUGCGGGGAUGCCCGCGACACCUAAGGGAGGGCAGAAAUUUGGAUACCUGUGGAUAUGCAUUAAUGCAGGAAGACCAUAUGACCUUGGCAUGACCAUAAAUAGCUAAAAGUUAGUUAUUCUGAGCCGGGAGAAUACAGUUAGGGGCACUACCGGAACGGGUCUCCCAGUCCGAGGCUAUCCCCAAGAGCAACCCUACCCCACCCCUGUCCCUUCCCUAUAGUCUUCCCACCUCUGAGACUGGAGAGUGAUCAGGGAAGGGCUCUUGCUCCCGCAGGAGAAGGAGGCUCCAGGGUGAGAGAAGGGAGUUUCCGCCUGUUUGGAAGUUAGUAUCCCUUCCACAAUGCAAGCCCGAGUGCAAGCCUCUGAGACCAACUAAGAUUUGGAGGGGAAAGGAAAAGGGAGUAGGCCUGUUUGCUCAGGGGGGAGUGGGAGAAGGGAAGAGGAGUUUAGCAGACAAGCUCGAGAUACCCAAGUCACAAAAAGUUCCCGCGUGUAUUGUCCUUUGAGGCACAAUCCACUGGAUAAUUUACAUAUUGCUCGUUGGAGGUUUUUGUUAGCUACCGAGAUGCGAGAUGCAUGGGAUGUGAGUGUGCAAAUGUGUUUGUAUGAAUGAAGAGUGGCUGCAUAUUUGUGGACGCGUGCGGCAUGAGCAUGUGUCGGUGACAGAGCGCACUUGGGUGCGUGUGCGCACGUGCUUACAGAGGAUUGUUGCACACAGGAGUGAGUACACGUGUGCAUGUGUAUAGUAUGUGCAUGUGUCACGUGUCUCGUUUAUAAGUGGGCGUGCGCGUACACAAAUACGAGUGUUUGUGUGCAAGAGCAUUGUACACUUGAGUGAGACUGCGCUCACACGUGUUUCGUGUGUCCAUGGGGGCAUGUAAAACUCAGCAAAGAAGUCCCCAAAAUCUCAGGUCCGGUCAAAGGAAAGGCGUAGGCACGACGCAGACUGAGCGCCCCAGGACAGGCGUCAAAACUGUUGCUCCUUGGGCCUGUAGGUAGCAGAGAGCCGCCGAUGGGGCGCAGGACCCGCUCGAAGGCAGCGGGUUAAAGACCAGCUCGGCUCCGGGCAGGCGAAGGGGGCUCCCGCCGGGGCCCACAAACUACCUGGACUGCGCUCGCAAUGAUCCCUGCUGAACAGUUCCGCGCUCUAAAUUAUUCCUCGCGGACAGUUUCUGAUUAUUGAUGCCGCUAAAAGAGACAGCUCCCGGGUUAUUUGCUUAUGUAUUUAUUACCUUUAUCACUGUCAUUAUUUGGUGGCUGUAUGAAGAUGGUGCCAAACCCACCAAGACCGUCCCGCCCCGCCUCUCGGAGGCCUCCCUCCGCUGGCAGAGACUCGCGAGCGUACGAGUCUUCUCCUUACGUGGAGCCACAGCGCCACCUCGCGACCUCCCAGCGUUCCACGUCGCAGGAACCUCUAGGUUGCCCAAAACUCGCCUUGCCUCCGCACCUUAGCACACGGAAUGCCUUCUACACCCUUCACCCCUAGAGAAGCUCCGCUCCCCUUACAAUCACCGGCUCAAAAGUCACCUCUUCCGUGAAACCUCUCCAAACCCCUUUUAGACGGUCACUAGUGCCUGUCCUUGAUUCUCCUAGUGCUCAUAUCACGUUGGACAGAAAAUAUUGUUUAAAUAUCUCUCCCCUCCCUAAUCGGGGGAGCUCCCCAACAAUGAAUAUGGUUCCUUACAGCAAUGACAAUAAAAAUAAUAAGAAGAAAACCUAGUAUUUACUGAGCACAUACUAUGGAGUAUCUUAAGCAAUGUACUGUGCUAAGCACUCUACCAUUAUCUCACUUAAUUUUUCCAGGAAAACCAUGAAGUAAGCAUCAAUAUAAUUUCACAGUUUGCAGAGGAAGCUAUAGAGCACCUUUCCAAGGUCACAUUGCAGAGCCCAACCCACGUCUGUCUGAUGCCAGAGUCCAUCUUUCUUAACUUUUAUGCCUUGUAGACUUAUUUAGCUCUAUAUCCAUAGGCUUUAAGACAGGACCAAGCACAGACUGGGAAUUCAUGUACUUAUGAAUAAGUGAACCAUCGACAGUUUAAAUUCUUUCUUCUGCAGGAGAGUUGGGCUAGAAAAACACCGGUAUUACCAGGUACCAUGAUUGAAAUGUUACCACAAUGAUUUAUCCCAAAAGAUUAUUUCAUUACUAACUAGCUAGGUGAUCUUGGUCAAGUCAUUUCGUCCUCAAUUUUCUUAUUUGUGGAAGGAGGUGUGCUGUGAGGAUUAAAUGAGGAAAAACUGUGAAGUACUUGAUGCUCGUACUGUAGUCAAUACUCAAUAAAAGUUUGGUAUUGGUAUAAUUAUUAAUUACAGUUUAAAAAACAAAAGCACAAAACACAAAAUUGACUUAACCCUAUUCACACAGAAUUCACCGUACCGCUCUAUAAAAUUAUCUCACUGUUAUAUCUUCAUUUUCAUCUUGGAUAUAAAAUAUGUAAUAAAAUAUGCUUAGUUU